rnacentral:sRNA from 1 species
UGUUGUUCUCUGCUAGACAUCCCAAAUGCCUAUAUCAAGCCAGAACCCAAUCCGGGGAAGGUGAGAACCUUCGACAAGGUUCGAGUCGAGCAACGCGAGACAACGUUGCCGCAGGCAACGGCCCGUAGGGCGAGCCGCAACGCGGCGAGUCAUCCUUCCCCCACCACCA